UACGAAGGGGGCUAGCGUUGCUCGGAAUCACUGGGCGUAAAGCGCACGUAGGCGGCUUGUUAAGUCAGGGGUGAAAUCCUGGAGCUCAACUCCAGAACUGCCUUUGAUACUGGCGAGCUUGAGUUCGGGAGAGGUGAGUGGAACUGCGAGUGUAGAGGUGAAAAUUCGUAGAUAUUCGCAAGAACACCAGUGGCGAAGGCGGCUCACUGGCCCGAUACUGACGCUGAGGUGACGAAAGCGUGGGGAGCAAACAGG
rnacentral:rRNA from 1 species